AGGGUGUAAACGCUGCAGACUUGGUGUUGGAAAUCCUUCGAGGGUAUUCAGUGCCGGAGAGAAGUUGUUAAGUCUGCUACUUGGGGGAGUACGUCCGCAAGGAUGAAACUUAAAGGAAUUGGCGGGGGGAGCACCGCAACGGGAGGAGCGUGCGGUUUAAUUGGAUUCAACACCGGAAAACUCACCAGGGGAGACUGUUACAUGAAACCCAGACUAAUGAUCUUGGUUGAUUUUCAGAGAGGAGGUGCCAUGGCGUCAGUGACU
rnacentral:rRNA from 1 species